rnacentral:rRNA from 1 species
GACAGAGGGGGCGAGCGUUGUCCGGAGUCACUGGGCGUAAGCGCGCGCAGGCGGUCGCCAAAGUGUCGUGUGAAAGCCCCCGGCUCAACCGGGGGAGGCCAUGGCAAACUCGGCGACUGGAGCGGCGGAGAGGCCCCCCGAAUUGCCGGUGUAGCGGUGAAAUGCGUAGAGAUCGGCAGGAAGACCAAGGGGGAAGCCUGGGGGCUGGCCGCUGGCUGACGCUGAGGCGCGACAGCGUGGGGAGCGAACCGG